CUUGGUUGGAUUUCUGCUUGAUGAACCUCAGAGAUAAGUAGUACAAGAGCAGGAAGCUGCAAACGAUACCCGCCAGGACGAGGUGGAGAAACUGAUGUGAAAUGAAUGACCUGACUCCACCGUCACCACCCAAGAAGGUAAUUGCAAAGGUAGGAAUAAAGAUCAAGACAUGUAAUCAAACUUUCAAAGAUACUUCAGCGAAUAAAAUAUGCGGA